rnacentral:rRNA from 1 species
GGAUGAACGCUGGCGGCGUGUCUAAGGCAUGCAAGUCGAUCUCGCUUCGGCGAGAGGCAAAAGGGUGAGUAACACAUUGGUGACCUGCCCCCAUCUCGGGUAUAACUUUGCGAAAGCGAAAUUAAUCCCCGAUAGUCUCUAUAUUCUACGGUUUAUAGAGUAAAGAUUUAUCGGAUGGGGAGGGGCCUAUGGUCUAUCAGCUUGUUGGUAAGGUAAAAGCUUACCAAGGCUAUGACGGAUAGCGGGUGUGAGAGCAUGACCCGCCUCAAUGGGACUGAGACACUGCCCAUACUCCUACGGGAGGCUGCAGUCAAGAAUCUUCCCCAAUGGCCGAAAGGCUGAGGGAGCGACGCCGCGUGAAGGAUGAAUCUUUUCGGAGUGUAAACUUCUUUUAUAAGGGAGCAAGGCUUUUUAGCUUGAGAGUACCUUAUGAAUAAGGGGCUGCUAAACUCGUGCCAGCAGCAGCGGUAAUACGAGUGCCCCAAGCGUUAUCCGGAUUUAUUGGGCGUAAAAGCGUACGUAGGUUGGUAUUUAAGUCAGUCGUUAAAUUCCGGAGCUCAACUUCGGAGCCGCGAUUGAAACUGAAUACCUAGAGUCUGGAAGAGGCAAGCGGAAUUGCUGGUGUAGUAGUAAAAUGCGUUAAUAUCAGCAGGAACACCAAAUGCGAAGGCAGCUUGCUAGGACAGUACUGACACUGAGGUACGAAAGCGUGGGGAGCGAAGCGGAUUAGAUACCCGCGUAGUCCACGCCGUAAACGAUGGACACUAGGCAUUGGGAGUAUCGACCCUUUCAGUGCCGUUACAUUUUAGCUAACGCGUUAAGUGUCCCGCCUGUGGAGUACGGCCGCAAGGCUAAAACACAAAGGAAUAGACGGGGACCCGCACAAGUGGUGGAGCAUGUGGUUUAAUUCGACACUAAGCGUAGAACCUUACCAGGGCUUGACAUCUAGCUGCACGCUCUAGGAAACUAGAGUUCUUUCGAAGGUGCUAGACAGGUGCUGCAUGGCUGCCGUCAGCUCGUGCUGUGAAGUGUACCGUUAAGUCGGGUAACGAGCGCAACCCCUAUCCCAAGUUAUAUUGUCUUGGGAGACUGCCCCGUAAAACGGGGAGGAAGGUGGGGACGACGUCAAGUCAGCAUGGCUCUUACGCCCUGGGCUACACACGUGCUACAAUGGGUAGUAACAAUGGGUUGCUAAAUCGCGAGAUGGAGCCAAUCCCAACAAACCUACCCUCAGUUCGGAUUGAAGGCUGAAAUUCGCCUUCAUGAAGUUGGAAUCACUAGUAAUCACUGGUCAGCUACACAGUGGUGAAUGCGUUCUCGGGUCUUGUACUCACCGCCC